UACGGAGGGUGCAAGCGUUACUCGGAAUUACUGGGCGUAAAGCGCGCGUAGGCGGUUCGAUAAGUGGGAUGUGAAAGCCCCGGGCUCAACCUGGGAACUGCAUUGCAAACUGUCGGGCUAGAGUAUGGUAGAGGGAGGUAGAAUUUCCUGUGUAGCGGUGAAAUGCGUAGAUAUAGGAAGGAAUACCAGUGGCGAAGGCGGCCUCCUGGACCAAUACUGACGCUGAGGUGCGAAAGCGUGGGGAGCAAACAGG
rnacentral:misc_RNA from 1 species